AUUGAACGCUGGCGGCAUGCCUUACACAUGCAAGUCGAACGGCAGCGGACCUUCGGGUGCCGGCGAGUGGCGAACGGGUGAGUAAUAUAUCGGAACGUACCUUUCAGUGGGGGAUAACGUAGCGAAAGUUACGCUAAUACCGCAUAUUCUGUGAGCAGGAAAGCAGGGGAUCGCAAGACCUUGCGCUGAUUGAGCGGCCGAUAUCAGAUUAGCUAGUUGGUGAGGUAAAGGCUCACCAAGGCGACGAUCUGUAGCGGGUCUGAGAGGAUGAUCCGCUACACUGGAACUGAGACACGGUCCAGACUCCUACGGGAGGCAGCAGUGGGGAAUUUUGGACAAUGGGCGCAAGCCUGAUCCAGCCAUGCCGCGUGAGUGAAGAAGGCCUCGGUUGUAA
rnacentral:rRNA from 1 species